rnacentral:rRNA from 1 species
CGCUUGCUGGGUUGGAUGAGUGGCGAACGGGUGAGUAACACGUGAGUAACCUGCCCCCUUCUUUGGGAUAACGGUCGGAAACGGCUGCUAAUACCGGGUAUUCACUGUCCUUCGCAUGGGGGGUGGGUGGAAAGGUUUUUUCUGGUGGGGGAUGGGCUCGCGGCCUAUCAGCUUGUUGGUGGGGUGAUGGCUUACCAAGGCUUUGACGGGUAACCGGCCUGAGAGGGUGACCGGUCACAUUGGGACUGAGAUACGGCCCAG